CUUCUUAAAACUUAUCUUUGUACUUUUUGAAGUAGUUUGAAAUAUUUUAAGUAAAAAGCAACACAAAAAAAUAAUAUGAGGGGCUGGGGUUGUGGCUCUGUGGUGGAGCACUUGCCUAGCAUGUGUGAGGCAUUGGGUUCAAUACUCAGCACCACAUAUAAAGAAAUAAAGAUCCAUUGACAACUAAAAAAAAUAUAUUUUUUUUAAAAGAAUAUGCAACACAUGAGACAUCAUUGGGAUUGCUGGGGCUGCAAGGCCACAGAUUUUUUUUUCCUAUUCCUGUUAGGAACUCAGGGGAAGGUUAUAAUGUGGUGGUGAUGGUAUAUUCACUCUGAGGGGCUAUAGGAAAUCCUUGAAACAGAAAAUGGUCAAAACAAAGCCACAGUGAUCAUAGCAUCAGUUGCUCUCUCUGGUAGUACUAGAUCUGGAAAGGAGGUAAGAGACGGUGGAAUAGAAUGAUGCUGUAAGCACAGAAGUGUCUUUUAAAAACAAGUCCAGAAAUAGUACAUAGCUCCACAAUUCAACAGAGACCAAGUAUCGCUGAACUUUACAUCAGAGUUCAAUUCAGAAAAAUCAGGCAUUUUUAGUGAAAGAGAACAAGCACUGCAGGUGCCUAAUAUUCCCUUGUUUGCAAUUUGUGAGGAAUGUUACAUGCAUUGAUUGUGAUGGCAGUUUUCCCUGCUGACAAUCAGUGUGCAACCUUUCUGUACAUUUUCAGCCCAAAGAGUUCUCAAAUUACCCAGUCACAACAUAAAAGGAAGCUAUGCAUUUUAGUAGCUAAGGCCCAUUUGCAAUAAAUACUUUGUGUGAUAUAAUGAGUGCUUAAUAUGUUCAUAAAGCUAACAGUGCCUGGAUUUAGGACGGUUGCCCUUCUAGAUUU
rnacentral:lncRNA from 1 species